rnacentral:lncRNA from 1 species
UUGCUGAAACAGCUCCACGAGAGGGUCCUUAUUUAGCAGCAGAAGAAACAAGCUCAGAGAAGUUAAGCAACGUGUCUAAGUGCACAGAGCUCAGAAGUGGAGGGCUGCAGUCUCCAGCCACAUUUUCUAAUGCCACGUCUUCUUAUUUCAAAGGCUAAAGACCAAUGAGAAGAAAUUCUAGAAUGUUUUCUAAUGCCAGUUCACUGAAAUGAAAGCAAACGGAAACUACUUUACUGUUCCUUUCUGGGAGCCAAUGGCUUUGCUUUAUAACUCUAAUCUCACACACACACAGUAAAGUCACUACUUCUGUUUCCAUUUUACAGAUGGAGAAACUGAGGCUCAGAGAGAGGACUUAAUUGCCUGGAGUCUCACAGCCUGAACACGUAGAACCAAGAACUUAGACUUGCAAAUCAUCAUUCUUUCCCACUAUUUUGGAGAGAAAAGAUAGGAGCCAAAAAACCAGUGAUGAUUUGUGGCAAGAUGGCGGCUCCUCUCAGCACUCUGGCAGCUCAGGAGGCUCCUGAGUAUUUGUACCCUGUGCAGCUGUUGACCGAGCAUCUGUGGGUGUUGCCUGGGAGACCUGACCACUGUGUUCCCAUAGGGAGGCAGCAGGCGGCUACGGAGAUGCAGGCCACUGCCCAGCUAUGUGACCCCACCUGGACAGAAAAGAAAAACCGCAAGCCAGCCGACUCUCUCGUACUGGCAGGGCGUGAUAAACAACAGGAAACCUGCUGGCUCCCAGGUGCAAGAAAGAAAAUUAGACCAAACAUAAAGAAUCCACAAAAGACCUCCUGUACCCCAACCCCAAAAGCUCAAAAUUUUGCUGACCCCCUUCAACAGGACCCCUCCCCUACCUAAACUAAGCUCUCCUAUAAGAUGUGCUCUUGCC